UAUGGUCAAAUCAUGUUGAAAACACCAGUUCUCAUUCAAUCACUGAAGUUAAGCAGUGUUAAGCUUGAUUAGUACUUGGAUGGAGGACUACUUCGAAAUAUCAGGUACUGUA